rnacentral:piRNA from 1 species
UAGCAUGGAAGUGAUUGGGAUUGGUUC